GCAAAGAGUUUUCCGGACGAUCCAUACCACUCUCGAUGCUCCUCAAAUUACCACUUUCGCUCUUCACGCCCCCAAAUAUGUAGAGGUUAAAUUUGCAGAUGGAACUGUGUUCAACUUGUCAGCUGAAUUCUUGAGAGUAUAUAGUCCAGCUGCUGAUGCUAAAAUCCGGUCAAUUGGGGGUGAAAAGGUAAUUUCUGGACGACGUCAUGUCGG
rnacentral:misc_RNA from 1 species